UUAAUGUUUGCACUAAAGUGUGGUGGAGAUGUUAGCAUUUUCUGUAAAAGCCUCAUGGAGAAAGCUGCUCAUUUUAUACCACUGUGUUAUUUUGUUUUAGUCAUGAAAAGGUCUUUUUUUUAAAUGAAACCUGACUGAAGUGUGGACUGUGAAACACAGAGGAGUGGAUGGUCAGCGCUUUUUGUGAUUUUUGGUGGAUUGAAAAUUUGGGCCUAGUGCUGCUGUUCCAGUCCCUAAUCCUAAUCAAACCAACAUCAAAAUGCCAAGAAAAGGYGAGGAUACWUGGUCAAUAAGAUGCUUGAAGAACAUGAGAAGAGCUAAAGAUCAUGUGUUUGACUCUCACAUGGACAGCUUGGUAAAAGAUGUUGAGGACUAGCCUCCAAUUUUCUCAAGCAGAUUUGGAUGAUCUGAAAGCUCCUGUGUUCAACGUUGGUGAAAACUUUAAACAUUUCUGACAACCUUGAUGAAUAUCAAACCCUCUGUAAACAACUUGGCAGGAAAAAUGGAUCAUAUGAACCAAUCAAGAAGAAGAAAAAAMCAUAUUGAUUGAAGUGGGAAAGGAAGGACUGUGAACGUCUGAAGAUAUGAUCAACCUGGUCUAUUUUGAUUGAUCUGCUUCGUUAAAAGGACAAACMGAUACUGAAGAGAGUCAAAUCCCUUAAAGGUACAAAUAUCUACGUUAAUGAAGACUUCUCUGGAAAGGUCUGCAUGAAACGAAGAAUCAUUGCCUCAGUUCAAAGAGGAAGAAAGGAAACAUUGCCUUUCUGAGAUUGGAUCAACUGGUCUAACUAACCUUACAUCUGCAGAUGAUGUGGUUCUGUUGGCAUCUACAGGCCGAGACCUUCAACGUGCACUGGGCGGUUUGAAACAUGGCUGGAAGGAGAGUUUACUCCACUAAGUUUGAGGCUGUGGUUCUUGAUUAAAAAUGGGUGGAAUGUCCCCUCCAUGUCAGGGGGAGGAGUUAAAGUAUUUGGACAUCUUGUUCAUGAAUGUUGGUAGGAUAGAGCUGGCGAUAGUGUUAGGCKGCCUGGUGGCCUCCUUGUACAAUUUGCUUUAGUGUUAAUAAACUCCUUUUUUUAAAUUAA